CACGACUACAUUAGAUACCCGCGUAGUCCUAGCCGUAAACGAUACUCGCUAGGUGUCGGCCACGGUGCGACCGUUGUCGGUGCCGUAGGGAAGCCGUGAAGCGAGCCACCUGGGAAGUACGGCCGCAAGGCUGAAACUUAAAGGAAUUGGCGGGGGAGCACCACAACGGAUGGAGCUUGCGGUUUAAUUGGAUUCAACGCCGGAAAUCUUACCGGGACCGACAGCAACAUGAAGGCCAGGCUGAAGACUUUGCCGGAUUAGCUG
rnacentral:rRNA from 1 species